CUCAGUUUCUGUGCCACCAAGUGAUACAUGUUCAACGCCUGAAAAAGGACAGGGCAAUUAUUCAUUAUUUUUGCCUCCUGCUCGAGAUUCUGCUGUGAUUUCUAUAGGAAGUACACAUUCAACGGCUGCACAUGAAAAUCAGAAGGUAAAAUCUCAAUUUCAUAGGUUUUAGGAAGGAUACAUUUAAUUUUAGGAUGACCUUCCUAAAUAAUGCAAUAUACAGAUAUGAUCCGAACUAGUCGUCUUUUUUUUCUCAAUUUGAACUGUUUAUUCAUAUGCCUAUCUAUUUUUGGGUUUGUAGAACCUCAUCCUUAAGUUGGAACUUCUUCUAUCUCUGCUGCACAUGAAAACCAAAAGGAACCUUAUCUUUCAGUUGGAACUUCUUUUAUCUCUGCUGCACAUGAAAACCAGAAGGAACCUCAUCCAUCAGUCGGAACUUCUUCCAUCUCUGUGCCAUAUAGUAAUACAUGUUCAACGACUGAAAAGGGAAUAGGCAA